CCCCGCCCCAGUGCCUCCUCCCAUUCCUCUCCUCGUCUUCUCUCGUCUCCUCCUCCUCCUCCUCCUCCUCCCUACCAUCAGCUUCCGGUGCCACGCCACGCGCUGCCGCUUCCCCCUCCUCCCUUCCUCUCUGUCCUCCUGCCCGGCGCUAGAUCCCCUCGUCGCAACCGCACCAGGGAGCGUCCCUCGCUACCAAUCCCGUACUACGAGCAGGCCUUGCACCCUAACCCUAGCCUUUGGGGGAAGGGAAGCAGGUAGACAGAGCGGAUGUGGAGGCGACGCGAGCCUUCAAUGGGGAGGAGUGCGACGGCAGGCAUGAGGGAUGAGCAUGAACGCGACGCACGGACCCUGGCAGGACCGUCGGGCGUGGGGCAGAGGCGCGACCGGACACGAGGCAUGGGAGAUGAAAUUGAGGGUUUCUUUUUUUUGCUGGUUAUUGUUUCCAGUUCUAUGGUGUUUUCCUUUCGUUGCACCCUGAUUGCUUGUUUUUUUUCUUAGGGUAUGAGCCCAGAUGUUGUGACAUACACUACACUUAUGAAAACAUUCAUGACAACAAAGAAAUUUGAAAAGCUGUGCCACUCUAUCUCUAUUUUUGUUAACUUAAAAAGGCCAUGUAUGGUAACCUGUGCACACAACCAUAAUUGUUAGUAACAAUUACGAAAUGUCUUCUUUUCAGCUCGAGUACAGCCUUCAAUUUUUCGUUUUUCAUGGUUAGGAUGUAGAGUAUAAACGGAUUAUCCGAUGCUAUUAAACUCGUGAAGCAUCACAGGAUUCUAUGUACUUGAUUAAUCUGAAAAGGUUGAAAUUAUUCUAAUCUUGGCUUGAAUAGGUAUCCGAAGUAUACAAGGAAAUGGAACGUGCUGGAUGCACUCCAGACAGAAAAGCCCGGGAAAUGUUACAUGAUACCUCUGUUACAUUGGAACAAAAAGGAUGUACCUAUUGAAAUUGGGACCUUGCUAUUUUAGAAUGGACUAGGCAUCAAUUUUUAUAAUGUCAUGGCACCAUCUCCCUUAUUGCUUACACAUGCAUGAUGGAGAAAUCAUUCGAAAUCAAACACAAGCUCACCUAUUCUGACAACACUAUAAGAUGGAUCAUCUCUUUGCAUUAAGCUGUUCCAAGUAGGUAUUUCAGUUGGUGGUAUCAGUUUUAUCUACUGCUCACAGUCCAACAAAAUUGUAAAUAUUGUUUCAAGUAACUGAUCCAUCAUGUAGUAUAUUAGUUAGUGCUAUCAGUUUCAUAUACUGCUGAUAAUCCAACAAAAUUGCAUAAACUAAUUUGUCUACUGGUGAAAUUGAUGAAAAAAUUGCUGGAAGCAACACUUUUGUUAGACUAUGGAAGUUUGGCCAUCAACUUCUAUGGUGUAACUAUGUAUAUGUAAGUGUUGCUUGGCCAUGUGUCCAUGUCCAUCAACAUCUGUGUUUCAACUUUGAACUUUGAAGGCGUACUUGGUUUACUUUCAACAUAUCCGUUGGAGAUGCAGAUUGAUUUUCCCCGUACCCCUGCCUUUCCCAAUUUUAAUUUAUUGGGGAGAAGCACUACAACAGAUCUUCCUCCUCCCGUCUCUUCUUUUUCUCUCGCACGCGGAUGGGGCCGGCGGCUGUCGGGGCAGGGCCGGCCGACCGGGGCAGGGUUGGCUGGUGUGGAGGCGGACUGGGCCGGCGGCGUUCGGGGCUGGCCGGCGCAGAGGCGGCCUGGGGCGGCGGUGCUGGGGGCUGGCCGGGCCGGCGCGCAGGGAAACGGCGCGCCUGGGGCAGCACGCAUCGGGGCGCAGGCAGACGGGGCUGGCGGCGGCCGGCCUGCUCGCCCGUGGGAGGAGCCACGGCGACGCGCUCGGGCGAGCGCCGUGCGUGGGAGCAGGGCGGCGCAUGAGGAGGGGGUGGAGGCAAAGGCCGGCGGCCGGAGGCUUGGAUGGCUGGCGUCGGAGCGCGGGGACUGGGAUGGCCGGCGCCGGCGCGGAGCACAGGGCGGCCGGUGUAGCAACUGGCGGCGGCAACUGAGGGGCAUGGGGCAGAUCGAGCUGUCAGAAAAUCAAGGAGGCAGCAGAUCGUGCGGUUGGAGAGAAAUAGAAGGAAAGGGAGAGGGAGGGGGAGAAAGAGGAUUGAGAAAAAAUAAAGGGGAAAUGGGAAUGGAAAGGGGAUCUGCUGGAGGAGGUUUUUCUCCCCUAAAUCUCCUUUAUAGCUGAAAAGAGGAAAGGGGAAAGGGAAUCUGCUGGAGAUGCUCUUAUGUUGAUCAUGCUGAUAAAAGUGCCAAUAAUCCGCUCACUGACAUUUUCUCCAUUCAGAGAAAUACUAUGCCUGCAAAGUUUGGGGCGAUCACAGUACAACCCUUUGUGUCCAAGACUCCUAAAUGAUCAUGUUGGGCAGAAAGGUGCAAACGGUAUGGGGUUUACUGAAGCCGGUUUGCGCUUAACCAUUUAAUCGGGCAUUACUUGCAUCCAGUUAUUGUCAACACACAAGGUGUUCUGGUAUGCUUUAUGUCUUUUAGUUUGAGUGUGCAGUCAGGAUUUAUGGUCUAAGUAGCGCUAUCAAGCAUAAAGAGAGGAGGAAUCAGAAAGUGAAAGAAUCAUUAACAUAUUCAAUCUGAUGAGUUUAAUAGACAAGUUGAUUGACAAGACUGAAAUCAGUUGCUAUUCUAUUUCAAUUGCUGGUAAAUGUGGAGGAAGAAAAUCUUCAGAGAUUGAUCCAUCUAACCGAGAUCACCAGGUGAAAUUUCAACCAUAAGUAAAUGUUUUGCGUACUCGCCCUUGUCAAUAUAACAAGUGGGAAGUACCAAACUACAUAGAACAAUUGCUCCCACAAGAAUUAUAUUAUUUUUAUUUACCUUUUCGUUAGCACUUAGAAUUUUAAUUAGGCAACGGGCAAUGAGUUCUCUACUUACCCAGGUAACUUAUAGUUUCUCUGUGCUCAUAUGAUGUUCUUUUCUAGACAACUGCUAGCUUCAGUACUUGAAAUCUCUAUGGAUCAAUUUUCAGUACUUCUAAGAACUGAGAUCAUUAGAUAGAAAUCGGCAUAUGUACUUGCUACCAUAAUUAUGUGGUCGUGAACCAUGCAGCCAUGCGUGUAUGGUGGUAAUUAGCAACUGCAAAGUAUUUGCAGAAUAUUUGAUGUUAACUGCUCAGUAUACCAUUAUGAUUAUGUCAUGCAAUUGUCCAAUGUCUCACUUGCAUUUUAGCAAAAUGUUUACCUCUGAGCUCACAAUUUAACAGUUGUUUCUGCAGCUAGGUAAUUAUGCUUCCCUUUAUUCCACCAUCUCAGUCUAUUGAAUCCUGAAGAGUAAACAUCUCAUCAAUAAAUAGUGUCAUUAGUUCUAUAAUUUAGCAUCGACACAUCUGUUUUAUCCUUUACAUAGUACGUCCAAUAUGUAAUAAUAUGUAAUUCCUUUCUGUGACGUAGAACACUUCGGUUUCAGUUUCUAUUUAAUAAAAAAUCGUUCCAUGGUUCCAUAA